AUUGAACGCUGGCGGCAUGCUUUACACAUGCAAGUCGAACGGUAACGGGCCGCAAGGUGCUGACGAGUGGCGAACGGGUGAGUAAUGCAUCGGAACGUGCCCAGUCGUGGGGGAUAACUACUCGAAAGAGUAGCUAAUACCGCAUACGAUCUAUGGAUGAAAGCGGGGGACCGUAAGGCCUCGCGCGAUUGGGGCGGCCGAUGUCAGAUUAGGUAGUUGGUGGGGUAAAGGCUCACCAAGCCAACGAUCUGUAGCUGGUCUGAGAGGACGACCAGCCACACUGGGACUGAGACACGGCCCAGACUCCUACGGGAGGCAGCAGUGGGGAAUUUUGGACAAUGGGCGCAAGCCUGAUCCAGCAAUGCCGCGUGCAGGAAGAAGGCCUUCGGGUUGUAAACUGCUUUUGUACGGAACGAAACGGCUCUGGUUAAUACCCGGGGCUAAUGACGGUACCGUAAGAAUAAGCACCGGCUAACUACGUG
rnacentral:rRNA from 1 species